GACGAACCGAGCGAACGUUGUUCGGAAUAACUGGGCUUAAAGGGCGCGUAGGCGGGCCGCCAAGUUCGAGGUGAAAUCCUCCGGCUCAACCGGAGAACUGCCUCGAAUACUGGAGGUCUCGAGGGUGGUAGGGGCACGCGGAACUGUGGGUGGAGCGGUGAAAUGCGUUGAUAUCCACAGGAACUCCGGUGGCGAAGGCGGCGUGCUGGACCACAUCUGACGCUGAGGCGCGAAAGCCAGGGGAGCGAACGGG
rnacentral:rRNA from 1 species